rnacentral:rRNA from 1 species
UGGAUCCAGACUUUGAUUCUGGCUCAGGAUGAACGCUAGCGACAGGCUUAACACAUGCAAGUCGAGGGGCAGCGGGGAAGUAGCAAUACUUCCGCCGGCGACCGGCGCACGGGUGAGUAACACGUAUGCAACCUGCCCUUGUCAGGGGGAUAAUCGGAAGAAAUUCCGUCUAAUACCGCAUAACGCCCCUGGGAGACAUCUCCAGGGGGCCAAAGAUUUAUCGGACAAGGAUGGGCAUGCGGCGCAUUAGUUAGUUGGCGGGGUAACGGCCCACCAAGACGACGAUGCGUAGGGGUUCUGAGAGGAAGGUCCCCCACACUGGUACUGAGACACGGACCAGACUCCUACGGGAGGCAGCAGUGAGGAAUAUUGGUCAAUGGCCGAGAGGCUGAACCAGCCAAGUCGCGUGAGGGAAGACGGUCCUAUGGAUUGUAAACCUCUUUUGCCGGGGAGCAAAAUCGUCCACGCGCUGGACGUUCGAGAGUACCCGGAGAAAAAGCAUCGGCUAACUCCGUGCCAGCAGCCGCGGUAAUACGGAGGAUGCGAGCGUUAUCCGGAUUUAUUGGGUUUAAAGGGUGCGUAGGCGGACUGUUAAGUCAGCGGUAAAAUCGAGAGGCUCAACCUCUUCCCGCCGUUGAAACUGGCAGCCUUGAGUGGGCGAGAAGUAUGCGGAAUGCGUGGUGUAGCGGUGAAAUGCAUAGAUAUCACGCAGAACUCCGAUUGCGAAGGCAGCAUACCGGCGCCCAACUGACGCUGAAGCACGAAAGCGUGGGUAUCGAACAGGAUUAGAUACCCUGGUAGUCCACGCAGUAAACGAUGAAUGCUAAUUGUCCGGGCCGAAAGAGGCCUGGGUGAUAAAGCGAAAGCGUUAAGCAUUCCACCUGGGGAGUACGCCGGCAACGGUGCAACUCAAAGGAAUUGACGGA